CGUAUCAAUUACACUUCCAUGAGAACAAGUAAAAUGUUAAAUGUACUUUAUAUAAACAAAAUUGUCCAAUUAAAGAGUUAUUUGAUUGUCGUAUUUCAUUAUGUGAAUAUGUCGCAGCCAUUUGGAUAAAUCGGCCAUUUAAUUGGCGGUCAAGUAUGUACACACCCUAGCGAAAGAAAUUGUGAAUGAUCAAAUAAAAGUUUUGUCAAAUAUUUACAUUCAACACUUACUGCAGUUUGUUUAGAGCAGCUAAACUAGUGGGCAUCGUAUUGUUACCUCUGCAUCUCUGAGAAAAUAAUACAAACAGUUUCAGUAUAAAGAAGAAUGCAGUCAAAUUAAAGGAUGUUAGUGCAUUCAUGAAAUUUUAACUUCUAUUGCAGUGACAGUAUCUUUUGAACAUUUGUAGACGAAACGUGACAUAUGGACCGAAAAAUAGUGAUAUUAUUUUCAAUUGCAUGUUUACUGUGGAAUACAGUUUUGGUCAAUUGUGAAAAAGUUGACGCCGCAACCCUUGACAGCAUGAUAAUAAAAAUGCUAUGGACCAAAGUUUACAUAGGAUAUGAUACAAAACUGAAACAAGAGGCAAUCAAAACGCUUAGACAGUCCGGAGACUAUAAAAAAAUGAUGACACAUUUAUUGAAAGUUAAAAAAGAAAAAAUACAGCAUGUUUUAAACUUAUUAGCGGAAUUGAUAAUUACAUAUAUGAGUUAAAAUAAAGUAUAUUUUUAUCAA